rnacentral:rRNA from 1 species
UACAGAGGUCUCAAGCGUUGUUCGGAUUCAUUGGGCGUAAAGGGUGCGUAGGUGGCGCCGUAAGUCGGGUGUGAAAUUUCGGAGCUCAACUCCGAAACUGCAUUCGAUACUGCGGUGCUUGAGGACUGGAGAGGAGACUGGAAUUCAUGGUGUAGCAGUGAAAUGCGUAGAGAUCAUGAGGAAGACCAGUGGCGAAGGCGGGUCUCUGGACAGUUCCUGACACUGAGGCACGAAGGCCAGGGUAGCAAACGGG